UACGAAAGGAGCAGGUGUUAUUCAGAUUAACUGGGCGUAAAGGGCACGUAGGUGGUUUGUUUAUGUGUAUUAUUAAAUUGUAAAGCAUAACUUUAUAACGUAUUACAGACAACAAAACUAGAGUUAGGGAGAGGCGAGUGGAAUUCCUGGUGUAGCGGUGAAAUGCGCAGAUAUCAGGAGGAACACCAAUUGCGAGGGCAGCUCGCUGGAACGUAACUGACGCUGAGACGCGAAAGCGUGGGGAGCAAACAGG
rnacentral:rRNA from 1 species